AGCACGCACGCACAGAUUGCAGCAUGCCAGGCUUCCCUGUCCUUCACUGGCAACAUAUUGGACCAGUAUAGAUCUAGAACAAAAAACUCACAGGCAAGGGGUUUCUGUUGCCUUAACAGUGGGGAGAGGCCCCUGUGAAGUGCAAGGUAGAGCACCCCUUUUUAGAAAGGCAAUUUUGUGGCUGCAAAUGGGCCCCCCCAGGAGGAUUCCUGGGGGAGGCGGAGUGACAGCAGUGGUCCUCCCCUCAGUAAGCCCACCGCAGGUCCCCAGACCUGGAUAGGACCUGGGGCUGGGGUGGACACUGAGCUCCCUGUCUGGCCACCACCCCACCCCCGGCCCUUGGAGCAGCCUGGGGUGGAGAGAAGAACCUGCCAGCUGGACUUGGAAACUCUUCAGUCCUGGUGCUUCUGCUUCCUGGCUGUGAGCUCAAAGGCAAAGGGAUGGUCUUGAUCAACGCCAUUUCAGCAGGGGUGGAAAGAUUUCUUACACAAUGUGUCCGAAGCUGUGAGCAUGGGGUGUGGGAAAGAGAAUGUGAGGCAGGAGGACAGGGGAGUCCCUUCCAAGGCUACCCCACCCUGAGGGGCUUUUGCUGGGCAUGUUCGCAGAGUCUGCAGGGCCCACCCUAACUCCUGGGGGAGGCCAACUUCUGCUGCAGGAAGAUGGCCAGGAUGGAGGCCCAGAAAAGGUGUGAUUCCCCAGGAGUCACCCAGCAAACCCAGAAACAGCUGCUGGGAGUUCCCUGCUUUGGGGCCAGGACACCUGGGUCUCGCUUUUCAGCUGCUUUCAGCACUAGGAUUUGUUGAAAGGAAUGAACAGAAUGUUUCAGGGCAACUUGAACGCUGGCAGGGAGGCAGCCUUCCCGGGUCUGCUGAUGCUGGGAGCCGGGGAAGGGGGCCUGGCAGCCUGGAGCUCUUACCAGAGCCUGUGCCCAAGUGGCCCCAGCCCCUAUUACCCACCGAUUCCCGAAGUCCUGGCUGCAGAAUGGUCCUGCCAGGGGAGGGAUGUGGGGAGAGGCGCCAGGCUCCCUGGGACCAAGUGCUACAGUGAGCCUUCAGUGACAGCUUUUGAAGACUCUGCAACGAAAAGGGAGAGCUGGGAUUUCAGGAGAUCUGAAUCCUAGGAGGUCCAACAAACGAGCUUCAGGAGAUGCCUGGACACAUCUCCUGUUCCCAUCACUGAAGGCAAAACUUUGAGUCUGUGCUUUUUUCUAAGUUAAGGGUCUAAGCUUUUGUCAAGGCUUAGAGGCAUCUGUGACUCCUGAAAGAAUAAGAACCACUGCUCUAGACACACACACUCACAAAUACACACAUACACUCACACUUAUACUCACAAAUACACACAUACACUCACAUACACACACAAAUAUGUAUAUGCAUAACCACAUGUACAGGCUUCCCUGGUGGCUCAGAUGGUGAAGAAUCCACCAGCAAUGCAAGAGACCUGGGUUUGAUCCCUGGAUUGGGAAGAUCCCCUGGA
rnacentral:lncRNA from 1 species